GGCCCGCGGCCUAUCAGCUAGUUGGUGAGGUAAUGGCUCACCAAGGCAUCGACGGGUAGCUGGUCUGAGAGGACGAUCAGCCACACUGGGACUGAGACACGGCCCAGACUCCUACGGGAGGCAGCAGUAGGGAAUCUUGCGCAAUGGGCGAAAGCCUGACGCAGCAAUGCCGCGUGCGGGACGAAGGCCCUAGGGUCGUAAACCGCUUUCAGUAGGGACGAAAAUGACGGUACCUGCAGAAGAAGCUCCGGCCAACUACGUGCCAGCAGCCGCGGUGAUACGUAGGGAGCAAGCGUUGUCCGGAAUUACUGGGCGUAAAGGGCUCGUAGGUGGUUGAGUAAGUCAGAUGUGAAAUCUCAGGGCCCAACCCUGAGCCUGCAUUUGAUACUGCUCUGACUAGAGUCCGGUAGGGGAGUGCGGAACUCCUGGUGUAGCGGUGAAAUGCGCAGAUAUCAGGAAGAACACCGACAGCGAAGGCAGCACUCUGG
rnacentral:rRNA from 1 species